UACGUAGGUGGCGAGCGUUGUCCGGAAUUACUGGGUGUAAAGGGCGUGUAGGCGGGAAGAUAAGUCAGAUGUGAAAUACCGGGGCUCAACCCCGGGGCUGCAUUUGAAACUAUCUUUCUUGAGUGCAGGAGAGGAAAGUGGAAUUCCUAGUGUAGCGGUGAAAUGCGUAGAUAUUAGGAGGAACACCAGUGGCGAAGGCGACUUUCUGGACUGUAACUGACGCUGAGGCGCGAAAGCGUGGGGAGCGAACAGGAUUAGAUACCCUGGUAGUCCACGCCGUAAACGAUGGAUACUAGGUGUUGGGGGUAUCGACCCCCCCAGUGCCGCAGCUAACGCAAUAAGUAUCCCACCUGGGGAGUACGGCCGCAAGGUUGAA
rnacentral:rRNA from 1 species